rnacentral:rRNA from 1 species
UACGGGGGGGCAAGCGGUUGUUCGGAAUUACUGGGCGUAAAGGGCUCGUAGGCGGCCAACUAAGUCAGACGUGAAAUCCCUCGGCUUAACCGGGGAACUGCGUCUGAUACUGGAUGGCUUGAGGUUGGGAGAGGGAUGCGGAAUUCCAGGUGUAGCGGUGAAAUGCGUAGAUAUCUGGAGGAACACCGGUGGCGAAGGCGGCAUCCUGGACCAAUUC